GGUGGCCUAGUGGUUAGAGCAUCCGCCUUGGAUGCGAGAGGUCGUAGGUUCGUUUUAUACCAAAGACU